CUGGGCGGCGGCGGCCCAUACCACGCAGGUUUCAGCAAUGAAAUGGAAGAAACCAGGCAGAGGAGCAGCACCAGAGGACAGGAGAAGAGAGUUGAAAGGGCCACAGUUUCUUUUUUAAAAAGUCUAUAAUUUGGGAGAGGGUGAUGAUUAAUUUCCAAAAUACACUUCAGAGUCUCACCUUCCACACAACACAGCUCCCUUACUCACAGCCCUUUGGUUUUUCAGACAAAAUGUAAGAGCCCCAUAAAGCCAGAAGCACUGACAGCCCCUCAACGCACCCGGACGCAGUGUUCCCUCAGUCCCUCAGACUGUCCUACAGACUGCUUCUCCCUACACACCUGUCUCACGGCUCAGUAGUAAAGGUGGCUGCAGACACAUGGGGGGGUGAGUGGAAAGGGAAACGGGGAAGCCCAGGCACAUGGGUGUAGGGAGGGGUGGGAGACACCACUUCCAUUUUCCUUUGUCUUUUCCUUAAAAAAAAAAAAAAAAAAAAAAAGGCAGGGGUGUGAUUGGUUGGAAGGGGAGAGAAAAAAAAACCCCAGGACAGUAUGUACGCUCCAGAGGUGAGUGAUGGGCCCAGUCCCCGGAGGGAAGGUCAGGGCAAGGCCUGCAGCAUCAAGUUCCUCAGGAGUUUCUGUCGGCCCAGCUCGUAGUCCUCCUCGUCCACGUUCACCAGCAGCUUGAUGGCUUCGUGGCCCACAGCCUGCUUAAGGGAGUCUGUGAUGAAGACGCCUUUCAGUGCCUCCAGGAGCGAGCCGUUGAUGUAGUCGCGCCAGAAUGCGUCGAGGUAGGUGAGCUCAGAGAACUUGAUGUCACAGAUGAUGGAGCCCAGGUCCCGGGACUUGAGGAUGGUGUUGGCCUGGUUAAAGCGCUCAAACUGGCGCUCCAGUGGGUCCUGCUUGUUGGAGAAGACGUUGCCCUGCAGAGCAGUCUCGUGCUGGCAGUACUCAGCCCGGACCCGCAGCCUGAUGUCUGCAGGGAAGAGAGGUGCUGUGAGGAUGAGUUUAUGAGAAAGAUGAAAACAGCAGCAGAGGAGCAAAGUGGGAACAUCACCUGACAGGUGCCCCCGCUCUUCUCCAGGCUCCUGAGCGCCCUGAUGCAGGGGGCUCCCUUACCCAGGCCAUGCCCAGGUCACAGCAUCCCACCCCUCAGGAGCACCUUGUUUCUGGGACGUCUUUUCCUGCUUAGUAGGCAGUCAUUCUCAUGAUACCAGGGUGUGGUUCCUCCUGCAGCACAGAGGUCAUGACCCGUCCCUCUGAUCUGGUGUUAACUACAAAGAGUUGACAAGUGCUCUGCCACCAAGACAGGAAUUCUCAACCCCCCAGGGCCACCACUCAAACCUCACUCUGCAACAGCACCAAUGGGAGCAUGGCGCUGCUGAGUGUCCCUCUGGGACCCUUGAACUUCUCACCACACGUCUGCUUUUCCUUAGGAUCUGGUGUCACUGACUUUCGGCGUUUUCGCUGGCUCCCAAGUGUGGCUCUCCCUCGAGCUGGCCUCUUGCUACACAUCUGAGGGCCUGAAGUGGGGCAGCAUACCACAGGAUAGUGAGGAGGCACUGACCAGGAAAAAGGGGAGGAGACAGUAGGGUAAAUGCUCAGACACUUCUGUGGGAAAGAAUCAUACAGACUUAGCAGGAAACGCAGUAUCCACAAUGUGACCUACAAGGACAUGUGGCAACAAUCACAGGACCCAGGGGACACGACAAUGCCUCACCUCAUUUUUAAAAAAGUAGCCCAUAAACCAACCCUUGGCUGGAAUCAAACCCAGGACCCUUCAGUCCGCAAGCCAACGUUCUAUCCACUAAGCCACACCAGCCAGGGCUGCCUCACCUCAUUUUUAUGUUUAUGGAGGAGGGCAGGGUCCUUUCAUUAAGGUGUGGCCAUGAGGGGUUUGGUGUCCUCUUGAGAAGGGACACUAGGGGAUUUAAUACCCACUCACCUGUUUUAGGGGGCUGGGGAGGCCUUGGUUCUGGAUCACUGAGGGCUCUGGGGGUCACAUAGCGAAUCGAUGUCUCCUCCAGAUACUUGUCUACAAGGUCAGGGCACACUGUAGGGGGAGAGGGGGUCAUUGGGAAGAUGUACUCCUUCCUUCUCCUGAUCCAACCCUCCAACAGGCCUCAUAACAGUCCUGGGCACCCCCAGAGCCAGUGCCGCCUCCCGCUGGGCCUCCAGCCCAACACCUAAGUCCCUAGCCCCGGGCCCUCACCAGCCCGCCUCCUCUUGAGGGUGACGUAGGGCAGCAGGUCGUGGCGAGUAAUGAUGCGCAGCAGCUGCAGCACUUGGCGGAAGUUCGUCUCAUCACAGCGGCCCUGGCGCUCAAGCGCCAAUAAGAAGUCACAUCCAUUUCGGAUGAGGCCACGCUCAUGGUCAUCAAUGACAUCGACAAAGAGGAAGGAAAGAACGCGCACAUCUCUGUGUGUCAGGUGGGUGCCCACGAUGUCAAACAUGCGGUGCAGGCUGUACAGCCCAUGCUCCUGCUCGCUGUGCUCUUCCGGCCACACCUGGCUUGCCCGUCGCUUCAGCCCCGCCAUGCUGGGGGCUCAGGUGCGCAAUGCUUCCCAGAAUCCCUGCUUGGCAGCUGCGAUCGCCACUACACUAUAAGGACACAAAAGACCCUUCUCUAGGUACAGGAGGAGACAGAAUGAAAACAUCUUCUUGCUUAUACCAGGCAACAUGGAAAAGCCAAGCCGCCUCAAAACCCCUACAACUUUGUUCUGUAUCCCACCUGCUGACCAUGAUGAGCCCAGAAAAGCAGGUGGACAGGUUUCACAUUCAACCAAUCAAAAGGCCAGGUUGCUCCAGAGCUCCCUAACUCAGUGUCCUGUCUUAAACCUUAGGAAAUGAAGAAAUACUGUCCCACAUAACAGGCUACUGGAAUACGUAUUAGGCAGAAUAUAGGAAAGCGCUGUGGUCCUAAUUAUUCAUC